AUUGAACGCUGGCGGCAGGCCUAACACAUGCAAGUCGAGCGGCAGCGGGAAAGUAGCUUGCUACUUUUGCCGGCGAGCGGCGGACGGGUGAGUAAUGCCUGGGAAAUUGCCCAGUCGAGGGGGAUAACAGUUGGAAACGACUGCUAAUACCGCAUACGCCCUACGGGGGAAAGCAGGGGACCUUCGGGCCUUGCGCGAUUGGAUAUGCCCAGGUGGGAUUAGCUAGUUGGUGAGGUAAUAGCUCACCAAGGCGACGAUCCCUAGCUGGUCUGGGAGGAUGAUCAGCCACACUGGAACUGAGACACGGUCCAGACUCCUACGGGAGGCAGCAGUGGGGAAUAUUGCACAAUGGGGGAAACCCUGAUGCAGCCAUGCCGCGUGUGUGAAGAAGGCCUUCGGGUUGUAAAGCACUUUCAGCGAGGAGGAAAGGUUGAUGCCUAAUACGUAUCAACUGUGACGUUACUCGCAGAAGAAGCACCGGCUAACUCCGUGCCAGCAGCCGCCGUAAUAC
rnacentral:rRNA from 1 species